rnacentral:rRNA from 1 species
GUACACUCCUGCGGGAGGCAGCAGUGGGGAAUUUUGGACAAUGGGCGAAAGCCUGAUCCAGCCAUGCCGCGUGCAGGAUGAAGGCCUUCGGGUUGUAAACUGCUUUUGUACGGAACGAAACGGCCUUUUCUAAUAAAGAGGGCUAAUGACGGUACCGUAAGAAUAAGCACCGGCUAACUACGUGCCAGCAGCCGCGGUAAUACGUAGGGUGCAAGCGUUAAUCGGAAUUACUGGGCGUAAAGCGUGCGCAGGCGGUUAUGUAAGACAGUUGUGAAAUCCCCGGGCUCAACCUGGGAACUGCAUCUGUGACUGCAUAGCUAGAGUACGGUAGAGGGGGAUGGAAUUCCGCGUGUAGCAGUGAAAUGCGUAGAUAUGCGGAGGAACACCGAUGGCGAAGGCAAUCCCCUGGACCUGUACUGACGCUCAUGCACGAAAGCGUGGGGAGCAAACAGGAUUAGAUACCCGUGUAGUCCCA